rnacentral:rRNA from 1 species
GACGAACGCUGGCGGCGGGCUUAACACAUGCAAGUCGAACGGAAAGGCCCUGCUUUUGUGGGGUGCCCGAGGGGCGAACGGGGGAGUAACACGUGAGUAACCUGCCCUUGACUUUGGGAUAACUUCAGGAAACUGGGGCUAAUACCGGAUAGGAGCUCCUGCUGCAUGGUGGGGGGUGGAAAGUUUCGGCGGGUGGGGAUGGACGCGCGGCUUAUCAGCUUGUUGGUGGGGUAGUGGCUUACCAAGGCUUUGACGGGUAGCCGGCCUGAGAGGGUGACCGGCCACCUUGGGCCUGCGAUACGGCCCAGACUCCUACGGUGGGCAGCGGUCGGGAGUCUUGCCCAGUGGGCGCACGCCUGAUGCAGCGGCGCCGCGGGCGGGAUGCCGGCCUUCUGGUUGUGAACCGCUUUCGGCUGUGACGAAGCGUGAGUGACGGUAAUGGGUAAAUAAGCACCGGCUAACUACGUG